rnacentral:rRNA from 1 species
UACGGAGGGAGCUAGCGUUGUUCGGAAUUACUGGGCGUAAAGCGCACGUAGGCGGCUUUGUAAGUCAGAGGUGAAAGCCUGGAGCUCAACUCCAGAACUGCCUUUGAGACUGCAUCGCUUGAAUCCAGGAGAGGUGAGUGGAAUUCCGAGUGUAGAGGUGAAAUUCGUAGAUAUUCGGAAGAACACCAGUGGCGAAGGCGGCUCACUGGCCCGAUACUGACGCUGAGGCACGAAAGCGUGGGGAGCAAACAGG